rnacentral:rRNA from 1 species
UACAGAGGUCUCAAGCGUUGUUCGGAUUCAUGGGCGUAAAGGGUGCGUAGGCGGCGCGGUAAGUCGGGUGUGAAAUCUCGGGGCUUAACUCCGAAACUGCAUUCGAUACUGCCGUGCUUGAGGACUGGAGAGGAGACUGGAAUUUACGGUGUAGCGGUGAAAUGCGUAGAUAUCGUAAGGAAGACCAGUGGCGAAGGCGGGUCUCUGGACAGUUCCUGACGCUGAGGCACGAAGGCCAGGGGAGCAAACGGG